rnacentral:rRNA from 1 species
GAUGAACGCUGGCGGCGUGCCUAAUACAUGCAAGUAGAACGCUGAAGGAGGAGCUUGCUCUUCUGGAUGAGUUGCGAACGGGUGAGUAACGCGUAGGUAACCUGCCUGGUAGCGGGGGAUAACUAUUGGAAACGAUAGCUAAUACCGCAUAACAGUAGAUAUUGCAUGAUAUCUGCUUGAAAGGUGCAAUUGCAUCCCUACCAGAUGGACCUGCGUUGUAUUAGCUAGUUGGUGAGGUAACGGCUCACCAAGGCGACGAUACAUAGCCGACCUGAGAGGGUGAUCGGCCACACUGGGACUGAGACACGGCCCAGACUCCUACGGGAGGCAGCAGUAGGGAAUCUUCGGCAAUGGACGGAAGUCUGACCGAGCAACGCCGCGUGAGUGAAGAAGGUUUUCGGAUCGUAAAGCUCUGUUGUAAGAGAAGAACGAGUGUGAGAGUGGAAAGUUCACACUGUGACGG